rnacentral:rRNA from 1 species
UAAUGUCUGGGAAACUGCCUGAUGGAGGGGGAGUAACUACUGGAAACGGUAGCUAAUACCGCAUAACGUCGCAAGACCAAAGAGGGGGACCUUCGGGCCUCUUGCCAUCGGAUGUGCCCAGAUGGGAUUAGCUAGUAGGUGGGGUAAAGGCUCACCUAGGCGACGAUCCCUAGCUGGUCUGAGAGGAUGACCAGCCACACUGGAACUGAGACACGGUCCAGACUCCUACGGGAGGCAGCAUG